UGAUGUUCUUGUUAUAAAUACCCUCACUGAUAGCUGAUUUCAAGUUACAAACUAGCUUGCAAAAUUCCAGAUAUUUAAUAAUCCGUUCUUUCUAAUUGAUAGGGGUCAGUUCCAGUAUACUACUGGAGAGGAAUAUAUGAAAAUGGAUUUGGAAAGGAGAAUUCCAGAAAGAUGCAAGAACUCACUGCCCCCCAACGUUGGUGUGGCUGACAAGAAAGAGAAGAUGCAGCCAGCCACGGCGCUUGAGAAAGCAGGAAUAAGAAGUGUUGGAAGAAGACCUAAUCAACAUUUCAAGGUGAGGGGAUAGAAGACCAGAUAAUUGAUAGAA
rnacentral:lncRNA from 1 species